UUCACCUGUUUAUCAAAACAUGUCUUAUUGAAUAUAAUUUUAAGUCAAUCUGCCCAUGAUUUUUUAUUUAAAUGGCUGCAGUAUAAUUAACUGUACAAAGGUAGCAUAAUCAAUUGUUUUUUAAUUAAAAACUAGAAUGAAAGAAUUAAUGAGAUAUAUUCUGUCUCAUAUAUAUUAAAUAAAUUUAAAUUUUUAGUAAAAAUGCUUAAAUUAUUUUAUGGGACGAUAAGACCCUAUAGAAUUUUAUAUAUAUAUUAUAAUUAAUUAUUUAAUUAUUAUAUUUAUAUUUAAUUGGGAGGAUUAGUAAAUUAAAUAAACUUUAUUUUUAAAAUAAACUUUAAUUUUAGAAUAUAAUUUUGAUCUUAUAUUAUAAAUUAAAAAAAUAAAUUACCUUAGGGAUAACAGCGUAAUAUCUUUUUAAAGAUCAUAUUAAUAAAGAUGUUUGCGACCUCGAUGUUGAAUUAAGAUAAAUUUUAGGUGAAGAAAUCUAAAUAUUAAGUCUGUUCGACUUUUAAAAUCUUACAUGAUUUGAGUUCAAAUCGACGUAAGUCAGGUUGGUUUCUAUC
rnacentral:rRNA from 1 species